rnacentral:piRNA from 1 species
GCCAAUGGAACUGAGAAUUGAAAAU